rnacentral:rRNA from 1 species
UACCAGCACCCCGAGUGGUCGGGACGUUUAUUGGGCCUAAAGCAUCCGUAGCCGGUUCUACAAGUCUUCCGUUAAAUCCAGCUGCUUAACAGAUGGGCUGCGGAAGAUACUAUGGAGCUAGGAGGCGGGAGAGGCAAGCGGUACUCGAUGGGUAGGGGUAAAAAUCCGUUGAUCCAUUGAAGACCACCAGUGGCGAAGGCGGCUUGCCAGAACGCGCUCGACGGGUGAGGGAUGAAAG